rnacentral:rRNA from 1 species
GCUGGCGGCGUGCCUAACACAUGCAAGUCGAGCGAGAAAAGGGUAGCAAUACCCUGAGUACAGCGGCGCACGGGUGAGUAACACGUGGGUAAUCUGCCCUGGAGUGGGGAAUAACACCGGGAAACCGGUGCCAAUACCGCAUACGAUCACGGUGUCUGCGGAUGUUGUGAUGAAAGGAGCAAUUCGCUCCAGGAGGAGCCCGCGGCUGAUUAGCUAGUUGGUGAGGUAACGGCUCACCAAGGCUACGAUCAGUAUCCGGUCUGAGAGGACGGUCGGACACACUGGAACUGAGACACGGUCCAGACUCCUACGGGAGGCAGCAGUGGGGAAUUUUCGGCAAUGGGGGAAACCCUGACCAAGCAACGCCGCGUGGGUGAUGAA